rnacentral:rRNA from 1 species
UACGUAGGUGGCAAGCGUUGUCCGGAAUUACUGGGCGUAAAGCGCACGUAGGCGGAUCGAUCAGUCAGGGGUGAAAUCCCAGAGCUCAACUCUGGAACUGCCUUUGAUACUGUCGGUCUAGAGUAUGGAAGAGGUGAGUGGAAUUCCGAGUGUAGAGGUGAAAUUCGUAGAUAUUCGGAGGAACACCAGUGGCGAAGGCGGCUCACUGGUCCAUUACUGACGCUGAGGUGCGAAAGCGUGGGGAGCAAACAGG